GUUCCCGGGCCUUGUACACACCGCCCGUCACACCAUGGGAGUUUGUUGCACCAGAAGCAGGUAGCUUAACCGCGAGGAGGGCGCUUGCCACGGUGUGGCCGAUGACUGGGGUGAAGUCGUAACAAGGUAGCCGUAUCGGAAGGUGCGGCUGGAUCGCCUCCUUU
rnacentral:rRNA from 1 species